rnacentral:sRNA from 1 species
AUCAGCUUGGCUAUUAUUACCACCACCACAACCGAUACCACAGGUAGCGGAGCGGGCUGACGCGUAAAGAGAAUCUAAAAAAGCCCGCACCGUUGAACCGAGUGCGGGCUUUUUUUU